AAUUAUGCAAUUAAGGGUGUCACACAAUCAUUUCACACCAUUCACCAAAUAACUGUCAUGCUCUUUUAUUAAUUCAAAACAUAAAGCAUUUGCACAAUACGCAGCGGAUAGAAAUCAAAUCAAUCAUACAAAACAUGUAGCCUAUUACAUGUAAACUGGGUCACAACCAACAAUAAAACAUUUAAAACAUCCCAUCCCGAUGUUACAUCUACCAGAGCAUGACCCACUAAGGAACUACACUAGACUUCAAGCACUAGCUCCUACUCAAUCACUGCUCGUUACCU
rnacentral:lncRNA from 1 species